rnacentral:rRNA from 1 species
UACGUAGGGGGCAAGCGUUGUCCGGAAUCAUUGGGCGUAAAGAGCGCGUAGGCGGCCCGAUAAGUCCGCUGUGAAAGUCAAGGGCUCAACCCUUGAAUGCCGGUGGAUACUGUCGGGCUAGAGUCCGGAAGAGGCGAGUGGAAUUCCUGGUGUAGCGGUGGAAUGCGCAGAUAUCAGGAGGAACACCAACGGCGAAGGCAGCUCGCUGGGACGGUACUGACGCUGAGGCGCGAAAGCUAGGGGAGCGAACAGG